CCUACGGGUGGCAGCAGUGAGGAAUAUUGGUCAAUGGACGAGAGUCUGAACCAGCCAAGUAGCGUGAAGGAUGAAUGCCCUAUGGGUUGUAAACCUCUUUUAUCAAGGAAUAAAACGACCCACGUGUGGGUUUUUGCAAGUACUUUAAGAAAAAGCAUCGGCUAACUCCGUGCCAGCAGCCGCGGUAAUACGGAGGAUGCGAGCGUUAUCCGGAUUUAUGUGGUUUAAAGGGUGCGUAGAGGGGUUGUUAAGUCAGUUGUGAAAGUUUGCGGCUCAACCGUAAAAUUGCAAUUGAUACUGGCCGUCUUGAGUACGGUUGAGGUAGGCGGAAGGCGUGGUGUAGCGGUGAAAUGCUUAGAUAUCACGAAGAACCCCGAUUGCGAAGGCAGCUUAC
rnacentral:rRNA from 1 species